CAGUGGAGCCAACAAAACCUCUCUCUUAUUUUAGUUAGUGUCGUGUUGUAUACAGAGAAUCUCAGGAAACUUGAUUCAUGGAUCAACUACUUGAAGAUGGAACUUCCUGCCGUUAGUCUUUUCCCAUUUCAGGAUUCCAAAGGAGUUGCCAGUGUAAAUUUUAUGUCAACAAGAAUCGAAGAUAUUACCCGUGGGAACGCACUCGUCCGCGGAGUCGUCAGGGUCGGACCCAGCCGAUGGCGUCG